UUUGAGGUCAGAGUUUCAGAUGAGCUGCUGGAUAAAAACUCUGGUUUAAUCCAAACAGACACUGAACGAGAAAAUGUCACAUAUUCAUGCAUCGAUGCUGUGAACAGAGACAGAAUCUUCUUCUGUAAGGGAGAAUGUAAAAAAGAAGAGGACAUUCUCAUUGAAACAGAUAAGAACAGAGCUCAGAGUGGCAGAUACAGCAUUGAAUAUAAAGAAGGAUCUACAUUUGGACUGUAUGUCACAAUCACACAAGUGGUCAAGUCGGACUCAGGACAGUACAGGUGUGGUUAUGGUAGAGCUUUGUCUCCUGAUUCAUCACGCACGUUCUCAGUCAUUGUUGUAGACGCUCCAACCACUUCAAAACCAACCUGGACUCACCGACCUUCCUCAACAUCAGUCC